UGGAGAUUAUUAUAAGGAGUUUUCAAGCUUCAAAUGCAUGCAACUUUGUUAAGAGCGUUUUCAUCAAUAUCUUUAGGUAGAAGGGAAUAUUGUGAAGAAAAAGACGUAGGUGAAUUUAUUGACUAACCCACCGGAAGGAAGAUUGAGGCUUAAGUCGGCAAUUGUUCUGGUGUACAAGUGGGUACGAGUGAAACAUGCAUGUGUUGAUCUGACUAGGGUUUUUCCCACUUGUGGGAUCGGGGACGAGCGCUUUUAUUAU
rnacentral:lncRNA from 1 species